rnacentral:rRNA from 1 species
ACGUGGGUGAUCUACCUCUGAGUGGGGGAUAACGUUCCGAAAGGAGCGCUAAUACCGCAUGACGUCCCGGGUUUGAAGACCUGGACACCAAAGUCGGGGACCGCAAGGCCUGACGCUUGGAGAGGAGCCCGCGCCUGAUUAGCUAGUUGGUGAGGUAACGGCUCACCAAGGCGACGAUCAGUAGCCGGCCUGAGAGGGCGGACGGCCACACUGGGACUGAGACACGGCCCAGACUCCUACGGGAGGCAGCAGUGGGGAAUUGUUCGCAAUGGGCGCAAGCCUGACGACGCAACGCCGCGU